UCUUUGAGUGCUUUGAGAGGAGGUGUGGAGUGGAGCCCUCUGCGACUUGGUUGUAUCUAGUGAGCUGUGUGUGGUUGUGUCGAAUUUUACUGUACUGUGUAUAUGUGUAUGUAUCAGUGUGUGUAAGAGAGUGUGUGUUGACAGAUUGGCCUGUGUGUGAGUGCUUGUACACUUUUGCCUGUGUGUUUGUCAGUAUAUGUAGGAGUGUGUGAGUUUACAGGUUUGUAUGUGUGUAUGUGUUUGUAUGUGUGUAUGUCUUCUUGUGCGUAUGUGUAUCCCUGUGUGUAUGUGUGUAUUUGUCUGACGUGUGUUUUUCCAGGUUUGCUUGUGUGUAACUAUGCGUGUUUUGUGUGAAUCUGGGUGUUUGUAAGAGUUUGUGUGAGUAUAAGUUCACUUCUGUGUAUUUCUGUGUGUGUGCCUGUGUGUGUGCCUGUGCCUGUGUGAGUGCCCGUGUGCGUGUGUGUGUGUGUGUGUGUGUGUGUCUGUGUGUGCACGUGCCCAUCCCCUUUUGCCCCUUGUAUCUAUAUUACCUGCACCUCAGUGCAAGAGAGUGUAGAGGCCAGAAGUCACCCCGGCUGCUGUUCCUGAGUGUCAUCUGGAAAUUCUUUCAUGUCCUUAGUAUAAACAGUAGGUGAUUUCAGACACAUGGCAAUGGAAAAGACACCAGCAGAAACUACAGCAGCAACAGGAGUAGCAACAAUAGCAGAAGCAGCAUUAGGCACAGCAGCAGCAGGAGGAGGAGAAGGAGGAGCGUAGGAGGAGGAGGAGGAAGAUGAAGAGAGGAGGAGAAAGAAGAGGAGGAGGAGGAAGAGAAGGAAGAGGAGGAGAAAGAGGAGGAUGAAGAGCAGGGGGAAGAUUUUGAUUCCCUGUCCCCGUGAGAAUUGCUGAUGACUACUUCUGGACACAGAUAUCAUGCUGAGAACUGUUUAUCAAAAUGAUUUAACAGAAUAUUAAUUUUCAUAGAAGACAUGUCAAUGUUCCUGAGGGCAUGCAGCCCUGGAAAAGAGAGCCAGAUGGCAGAGGCAAGCAGUGUGGAAUGUUCUUACUGAGGAAGACCUUCUCAAAGCUGAUGAUGUAAUAGGUAUGAAGGAGCAUUUCAUGGGAGUCACGGUCCCAUGCCCCUGUGUCAGGGCACACAGAGCUCCUUGCCUUGCAUCCUGCGUGAGAGGGGACCUGGAAUAUUCCCUGAUCCCCACAGGGUCCUGGAUUGCAUGGUUCUCCCUCAGUCAUGGUCCUCCCUGUGCCUCAUGGGGUACGCAGCUUCUACGGGCUGAAUUUAUAUCAGUGAUUAACUGGAGCUGGACCACAACCACACCACAGGCAAGCCAUGGGCACUGAGGACAUUAAGAGCAGCAGACAAUCUCUCCUCCGCUGCUUCUGACUCUGCUCCACAAGCCAAGGCAGCUCCCACACAGCAGGCAUCCAGCCUAACUCCCAGCAGGGAGAGUGUGAGAUGUCUGUGGAUGAGCCCACAGGGACUACAGGAUUCUGUGGGAAGACAUCUGGUAGCUUCUGGAGCAGCUGCAGCAGCCAGGACACAUGAACUACAGUGGAGUUCAGAUCCUCAGCUGGCCUCAUCACGGACAGUCCCAUGAGGAGUGGGUGUUUGUUUCCUGCUUCACAGUUAGGGCAGGAACAAGCCCAGACGCAGUGAGUAAGGACAGUGCUUCUGUCUUGACCCAGCUUCCUUGUCCUCCCCCCUCCCCCAACUCAUAUCAGGAGCCACCCAGAGACCUUCAUAGGAGUGUGGGUCAUGUUAAUCAGAAUGCACAGCUGGAGAUUAAAUUCUGGGUAAGGUCUCCAUACAGCCCUGGUGGCUCCCACACCCUGCCUACCUAAGUUUUCCCAAUUGGGUCCUCAGGGUCGUGGAGAAUCUUCUACAGGCUGCCGUGAAGAUACAGCCAGUUUCUUGGUAACAUUGUGUUUAGCAGAGGUUCUCUGCUUCAGGCACAGAGCCUUCCAGUGAGAGGGUUUGCUGAGUAGCACACCAGGACCAGAAAAGUGUAGAGCCCUCUAGUGGUAGACAUGAAGUACUGCAGGAGUUUAUUUCCUGAUUUCUUCACAUCUACCUUGUUCUAAAGGCUUUUUGUCAGACACAUAGGGACCUAAGAAACUUGAGUUUGCACCCCCAUAGGGAACCCAGGACACUAAACCAGCAGCCCUGUUAAACGUCGGCAGAGGACAGUCUGGGCUCUGUGUUUAUAGAAUGGCUCUAGACUGGUAUGAAGACUGAUUGACCAGCCAGUCAAGGAGAGUUAGGGACAGUUAGAGACUUGGAGGAGAGCAUGAGCGGCAGACACAGCAGAGUCCAGGCCAACAGUGGAACCAGUUCAUUUAAUAGAGAAGCAUAUGCCCUCCCAAAAGGCUGUCAGCUUAAGGCACUGCACUGAAGACCUGACCCAAUAACAUGCCCAAUUUACACAUCACCCACCUGUGGCUUGUGGAGGGUCCUCAGGGUAGAUACUAAAGUCCAUCAUGGCUGAAAGGCAGAAGUUUGCACAUCAUUGCAAUGUGGAGGCUACUCUCUGCUGAUGGGACCCACACACUCUGUGAAAAAGUUUGCUUAAGUGAAAGUUGGCCGUCCUUGAACUCUCUGGUCUUCCAGGGUAGUGUGUGUUGACCACAUGCAGAGCCAUUCCUGAAAAACGUAAGAGCCAAAAUUCAACAAUAGGGAGAGAAUCCUGUGCCAGAUGGAAUCCCUCAGGCCAGUGCGGAUUCAGAGACAUCCUAUGCCAUGGCAUGGAGGCUCCCAAGAACUUCUAGGAUCAAUGUGAGCCACACCGGAGGCCACAGUCUAUCCUGGGAGAACAUUAAAGUAUCUGGAAUUAUCAGGGACCCUAAGGUAGGUUCGUCAGGAUAUGGAGCUGAUGCAUGGUGGGAUGCUUGGAGGAUACAGCCUAAGGCAACGUAGAGGAAAGUGUGUUAUGAGAGCUAAGACAGAGCAACCACACAGUCUGAGAACAAGUUUGCUUAAGUGAAAUUUGGCCGUCCUUGAACUCUCUGUUCUUCCAGGGUAGGAUGGCCUAUUGGGCCCAGGACAGAGCGACUAUGCCAGAAUUACAAUGGUCUGUAAUAGAGAUGGAGAAAGUGUCAGGAUGGGACUUGGGCAGUGGAUGGAGCUCUAUGACUGCAAAGCCUGCCUAGGCUCCCAGGACCCAGAGCUGGCUGCUGCAGGAAGUCCUAGAUCACAACUCUGCCGUUCCUCUUCCCAGGUCUUGCUUUUAACUACUGGACCCAACACAAAGCCUCCCUUGCAGGCUUACCAGAGCAUGAAAAUGAAAUGGCCACCUCCUGUAACAAGAAACACUUCUAGAAGAGGAAGGAGACAUCAAUACAUUCACAAAACCUACAACUCGAAGUCUGUCUUGCCAAUAAGUGUGCAGGGAUAAAGACAGAAAAGUAGCACACAUGUCUCCAGAGGCUUCACUCGGCAGCUGAAAGCCACAGCCAAUCCUCAGAUAGAGCUCGGGAAGUCUUGUGGAAGAGUGGUGGGGAGAGUGACAAGGAAACUGGUUGGGUUAAAACACUACAAGAAGUCCCCUACCGUCAGAUACCUUGGACCAUGGAGUAUGCUAGAGCCUGUGCAACCAACCCCAGAGCCGGGUUAGCUAUCUGCAGUUGGUCUCCAUGUGGGUCAUCUGACAAGUAGAUCCAGUGCUGUCUCAGUCUGUGUUGCCUGCCAUUGGAUCUGUUCCCCAUACCCGGACUGCCUGAUUGUAAAUCUGUGGGGCAGAAUGUGCUCGGGCCACCUGGGACUAGAUGUCCCAGGGUGGUGUGGUACACAGGGACUCUCCCCUUGUCCAAAGAGAAGGGAGAGCAUUAUGGUAGAAAGGAUUUGUAAGGUGGGACUGGGACGGGAAGAGGGAGAGUGACUGGGAUCAGGAUGUAACCUGAAUAAAGAAGACAUUAUUGGAACUAAAAAA